CUUGCCUACAGUUCAAAGAAUCACUUUAGAGUAGACGUCCCACCUCUGAGCUCUUCUAAAGAGCCACAGAAUCUCCACCCUUGCUGAUGACUUCCAUGUCCUCGACGCCCUAAAGUGAAGCCGUUUUACUUCCGACUCGACCUUGAAUUUGCGCGCCCUGUCACGAUCCAUCCUCGGAUGGGCUUGUUUCGAGUGCCGGUACAAUGGUCCAGGGAGUGGUGAUGAUCUUUACCUUACCAUGAUGUCUUGACUUCGGUCGAUCGGGCUUGGUGGGUGUCGAGGAGGUCUGAAAGGU
rfam:Aspergillus carbonarius ITEM 5010 unplaced genomic scaffold ASPCAscaffold_81, whole genome shotgun sequence.